rnacentral:lncRNA from 1 species
UCCGGCUGCGCUGCCUGUGUAUCACCCGCCCGGAUGAAGGGGGAGGGGAGGUGGUGGCGGGGUAGGGUGGGAGGGGGGGGGGGAGUCUGACAUGCAGCAACAAAGCAUUAGGACGGAUAUGCUCCUAGCCCGGAUGCCUGCUACAAGCGGCCCAGGCUAGUAGUAAUUGUCCUCCCCCCCUUCCCCCUUCCCCCUUCCCCCUGCUCGCCCUGCAGCACACUCCACGCCCACCAUGCUUAACCGCGGCACCUGGAACACGUGACGGCGGAUGCGGCAGGCUGCGGCAGGCUGCGGCUGACAUGCAAGGGAUGACAGAGCAACGGCAGAUCUCUUCUAGCUGGUCCGAGUCUACGCUGUCGAUGCUGGCGAGGAUGCUCUCCUCCGCGGUGGCGACGAGGCCGGCAACCGGUGUUGCUAUCGCGUCCACACCCCUGCGUCCGGCGAAGAAAGAGGAUAUCCUAAGGUCUUCUGCAACGCACGAGGUGUACUUUUACGUAUUUUCUUCAUAAGAUGUAUUAAAGAGGAAGCUUUGUACGGCUCUGAAAUUUAAGACUUGAGAUCAUCUCGUCCCCAGGAAAUGUAAAUAAAGACUGAGAAUCAAUUG